CUCAACCGCGGGUUGGCGUGGAAAACUGGUGGACUUGAGUGCACGAGGGGAGAGCGGAAUUCCCGGAGUAGCGGUGGAAUGCGCAGAUAUCGGGAAGAACACCAGCGGCGAAAGCGGCUCUCUGGCGUGCAACUGACCCCCAGGGACGAAAGCGUGGGUAGCAAACAGGAUUAGAUACCCUGGUAGUCCACGCUGUAAACGUUGUGCACUAGAUGCCGGCGGCACUCCGGUGCUGUCGGUGUCCAAGUUAACGCGAUAAGUGCACCGCCUGGGGACUACGGCCGCAAGGCUAAAACUCAAAGGAAUUGACGGGGGCCCGCGCAACCGGUGGAGCAUGUGGCUUAAUUCGAGGCUACGCGAAGAACCUUACCCGGGUUUGACAUAUAUCCGCCCGCCUGUGAAAUCAGGUUUUCUCUUCGGAGACGG
rnacentral:rRNA from 1 species